rnacentral:rRNA from 1 species
UACAGAGGGUGCAAGCGUUAAUCGGAAUUACUGGGCGUAAAGGGUGAGUAGGUGGUAAAUUAAGUUACAUGUGAAAUUUCUGAGCUUAACUUGGAAAGUGCAUGUAAUACUGGAUUACUAGAGUACUGUAGAGGGUGAUGGAAUUUCCGGUGUAGCGGUGAAAUGCGUAGAUAUCGGAAGGAACACCAGUGGCGAAGGCGAUUGCCUGGACAGAUACUGACACUGAUACACGAAAGCGUGGGGAGCAAACAGG